rnacentral:rRNA from 1 species
UACGGAGGGUGCGAGCGUUGUCCGGAAUCACUGGGCGUAAAGGGCUCGUAGGCGGCCAACUAAGUCGGAUGUGAAAUCCCCAGGCUUAACUUGGGAACUGCAUCCGAUACUGGAUGGCUUGAAUCCGGGAGAGGGAUGCGGAAUUCCAGGUGUAGCGGUGAAAUGCGUAGAUAUCUGGAGGAACACCGGUGGCGAAGGCGGCAUCCUGGACCGGCAUUGACGCUGAUGAGCGAAAGCCAGGGGAGCAAACGGG